rnacentral:rRNA from 1 species
CAUAGCGACUAUCGUGGCAUAUCAAUAAGCGGAGGAAAAGAAACUAACAAGGAUUCCCUUAGUAACGGCGAGUGAAGCGGGAAGAGCUCAAAUUUGAAAUCUUCAAGGUUCUACCUUGACGAAUUGUAGUUUAAAGAAGUGUUUUCUGUUGGAGUUUUGGUAAAAGUUCUUUGGAAUAGGACAUCAUAGAGGGUGAGAAUCCCGUAUUUGACCAUUAUUUCCAACUUUGUGAUACACUUUCAAAGAGUCGGAUUGUUUGGGAAUGCAGUCCAAAAUGGGUGGUAAAUUUCAUCUAAAGCUAAAUACUGGCGAGAGACCGAUAGCGAACAAGUACCGUGAGGGAAAGAUGAAAAGAACUUUGAAAAGAGAGUUAAACAGUACGUGAAAUUGUCAAAAGGGAAGCGUUUGACACCAGUGUUGUUUUCUCGAAAAUCAAUUAAAAAUGGAUGGGAUGUUGUGUUGUAUUGACUUUAUCCAGCUUUCUGCACUCUUUUUCCUUAUCUUUUUUAAUGCACUUUUCGUUUAACAAGUCAACAUCAAUUUCUUUUGUUGUAAAAGAGUCAUUGGAAGGUGGCUUUUCUUUCGGAGAAAAGUGUUUAUAGCCUUUGGCUUCUGCAAUCGGAGAGAUUGAGGUCUGCAGCGUAGAUCCUUCGGGGUUAGAUGCAUUUGUGCUAAGCUAUAGUUCCUUUAUAGACAACUUGUUGACUAUGAUCAGUCCUGUAGCUUACUCGCUUAUGCUAUUUUACCUACGCUUAGGAUGUUGAAGAUAUGCGCGACACG